rnacentral:lncRNA from 1 species
GAGCUUUUGACUCGGUAUCUUGGGAAUUCAUUUUGGAACUGGUGCAACACUUGGGUUUUAGCUCUCGCUGGAGAGAUUGGAUAACUCUGCUGCUGAGAUCGACCUCCUCCUCCUUUCUGUUGAAUGGCUGAAAGUGCAUGUAGUUCCCAUGUGUGGUUUUGGUAAUUGAUGACAAUCCUAAUGUACAAGAUGUGAUCUAUGUGGAGUUCAUUGAGGAUCUCAAACAUUCUCAUGCUUUGGCCUAUGGUUUGAAUCAUGAUGGAUCAAGAACUUGAGAGAAUAACUAAAGAGAAGAAUCCUACAUAUGUCUUGAAAAUAGGAUCAUGAUGAGCUCAUA